UCGCGGCUUAUCACCGGCAGUCCCCUUAGAGUGCCCAACUAAAUGAUGGCAACUAAGGGCGAGGGUUGCGCUCGUUGCGGGACUUAACCCAACAUCUCACGACACGAGCUGACGACAGCCAUGCAGCACCUGUGCUCUCGCCCCUUGCGGGAAGGAAGCUGUCUCCAUCUCUGGAGCUGUCCGAUGUUGUCUAGCCCAGGUAAGGUUCUUCGCGUUGCGUCGAAUUGAACCACAUGCUCCACCGCUUGUGCGGGCCCCCGUCAAUUCCUUUGAGUUUCAACCUUGCGGUCGUACUCCCCAGGCGGGGUACUUCCUGCGUUAGCGCCGGCACCCAGAGGGUCGCUCCCCCAGGCACCUAGUACCCAUCGUUUACGGCGUGGACUAC
rnacentral:misc_RNA from 1 species